ACUCCUACGGGAGGCAGCAGUGGGGAAUUUUGGACAAUGGGCGAAAGCCUGAUCCAGCAAUGCCGCGUGUGUGAAGAAGGCCUUCGGGUUGUAAAGCACUUUUGUCCGGAAAGAAAUCCUUGGCUCUAAUACAGUCGGGGGAUGACGGUACCGGAAGAAUAAGCACCGGCUAACUACGUGCCAGCAGCCGCGGUAAUACGUAGGGUGCGAGCGUUAAUCGGAAUUACUGGGCGUAAAGCGUGCGCAGGCGGUUUGCUAAGACCGAUGUGAAAUCCCCGGGCUCAACCUGGGAACUGCAUUGGUGACUGGCAGGCUAGAGUAUGGCAGAGGGGGGUAGAAUUCCACGUGUAGCAGUGAAAUGCGUAGAGAUGUGGAGGAAUACCGAUGGCGAAGGCAGCCCCCUGGGCCAAUACUGACGCUCAUGCACGAAAGCGUGGGGAGCAAACAGGAUUAGAAACCCGUGUAGUCCCA
rnacentral:rRNA from 1 species